ensembl:lncRNA
AUUGAAGAGCAAGAAUAACCAUCGAGUUAUUGGACUUUGAGCUAAGAUGAAUGUUUAAAUCCUGAGGACUAGGCGCUAAAUAACAGCUGACGCAGGUGCUACGCAGAAGUGGAUUCAGUGAAGCUAGGAAGACAGGAGCGGCAGACAGGAUUCGGAGCCAGUGUUGGUGAAAACUAGGACUGAGGAGCCAGCGGCAGUUCGUGAAGAUAGGAAAGAGAAGCCCGGGAGCCAGUGCGACUUGGUGAAGGAAGCUAGGAAGAAGGAGCGAGUCCUAACGAUUUGGAGGUGAAGCUAGGAGAGGAUUCCAGGAAGGAGGAAGCCAGUGCGGUGUGGUGAAGCUAGCGUGCGGCUUGGCUUGGCAACCACGCGGAGGCGGCGAGCAGGCGGAGUGGAGGAUAGAUAGAGGAUCCUAGAGCAGCAGACCAGUGUACGAGCCCCGCAGGGAGAGCCAGUGGUGUGGUAAAAAUCCGUGAAGUCGGCACUAUCGUGGGUUUUUUUUCCUCCUGUAACUCAGUAUGGUAAUAUCUCUUAUUAAAUUUUCCUAAUAGUAAUGGGGGAGUUGUGUACUUAAGCAUAAAGGGGAUUUUAUUACGGGGAUGUAGGCCGGUUUUCGGGUGUCGUAGGUUUCUCUUUUUCAGGCCUAUUUUCUCAUGCAUCUUGUCUGGAGCUUUUGAGGGCAGACUUCAAGGCCCGGAGGAAUGGUAGAUGGCAAGUGUUCUUGUUUUUAACCAAUAUGAGGGAUGUCCUGAAUUUGGUAGAACAACUGUGAGACAACUUCAGCAAGCUUUGUAAACAGGUUUUAUAUUCAGUUUGGGGGUAAUGAAGCAUUUCAGUUUCGUGAGUAGAGGGCCUACUUUUCUUUCCUCACCCUGUAUUUUAAAAGUCUUCUAAAUAUGUAGUUUCGGUGUAUAAUUCUGGGCGGGGGGAGUUUUUUUGGGGGGGGAGCAAAAUAUGUUUUGAGUUCUUUUCCCUUUAGGUCUGUCUAGAAUUCCAAAGGCAAAUGACUCGAGGUAACAGGCGAAAAGAAAAUCCAAUAUCAGGAUAAUCAGAACACUGCAGGUUUACAGUUAUAGAAACUCUAGCACAAGCAGCUUUCACUUUGAGGUCUGUGGCGCAGCUGUCCAUUGGAGUAAUGGCUGGUAGUUUAUUCUUUUUUUCCCCACCCCUUUAUUAAAUAUUUUUAUAAAGUACGUAACUGGUUAUUUUUACUUAAAUAUUUUGGGGUGGUGUGAACAGGGAAGAGGGUGGGGGAGAAACUUUUUUUUUCUAAGAUUUUCCACAGAUUCUAUAGUACUAUUGACAAUCUGAGUUAGAGAAGGAUUGUACUGCUACGCUGUUUGGCACCAACACCUUCAGGGAUUGGAGCAGCUUUUUUCCUUGGAAGAGUAUUCCCAGUGAAGCUGAAAUGUACAGCCCAGUGCAGCUUUGGUUCAUAUUCAGUCAUCUCAGGAGAACUUCAGAAGAGCUUGACUAGGCCAAAUGUUGAAGUUAAGUUUUCAAAUAACGACUUUUAAGAUACCUUUAUUAAAGGGGAGGGGCAAAUUUUGGCGAUUUGUAGUUGGCAGUGGCUUGUAAUGAUUGGGAUGGGGGGGGCGUGGGUUUAGGUAAUUGUUUAGUUUUUGAUUACAGAUAAACUCAUGCCAGAGAACUUAAAUACUUAAGGUGGAAAAACUAAAGAAAUCUCAACUUCCAAGUUGGCAAGUAACUCGAAAUCCUCUGGUUCUGUUUUGCCCCAAUUUUUGAAUUUAACAGAUGGGGAAGUUGAUGACGAUUCACUGGAUUUAAAAGAGUAGGGCUUGGGAAAGGAAAAUGACUGGGGGUUGGUCUGGCCCUCUGCGCUGACUUAGAUAAAAACUUGGGGAAUUUUUUUUUAAAUGGUAAAGUUCGGAUAUAGUGUGUGGUUCUCUCUUGGAAUAUUUUUCAGGUGAUUUAAUAAAACUUAAUACUACUAUAGGAGCUUCAGAGCAAAGGAGGUGGCUUAAUGAUCCUGAAGGGAUUUCUUCUGGUGGUAGCUUUUGUAUUAUCAAACUUUUUUCAGAUAACAUCUUCUGAGUCAUAACCAGCCUGGCAAUCUGAUGGCCUAGAUGGAGAGGGGAACAGCUCCUUGGUGAAUGAUAAGUAAAGGCAGAAAAGAUUGUAUUUCAUACCUACAUUGGGGAAAAAAGCAUAACCCUGAGAUUUUCUUCUGAUGAACACAUUGUCUGCACAUGCAAAAAAAAAAGCAAAUGAAAACUACCAAUUUAAAGUUAAUGGAAUCUACUACUAUAAAGUUAA